GACGAACGCUGGCGGCGCGCUUAAUACAUGCAAGUCGAACGAGAAACUCGGUGCUUGCACCGGGUGGACAGUGGCGAACGGGUGAGUAACACGUGAGUAACCUGCCCCGGAGACCGGAAUAACCCGAGGAAACUCGGACUAAUACCGGAUGCCUUCACCGGACCGCAUGAUCUGGUGAAGAAAUGGUCCGCCGCUCCGGGAUGGACUCGCGGCCUAUCAGCUUGUUGGUGAGGUAACGGCUCACCAAGGCUACGACGGGUAGCUGGUCUGAGAGGACGAUCAGCCACACUGGGACUGAGAUACGGCCCAGACUCCUACGGGAGGCAGCAGUCGGGAAUCUUCCACAAUGGGCGAAAGCCUGAUGGAGCGACGCCGCGUGAGUGAUGAAGGCCUUCGGGUUGUAAAGCGCUUUUCUGGGGGAAGAGGAAGGACGGUACCCCAGGAAUAAGUCUCGGCUAACUACGUG
rnacentral:rRNA from 1 species